rnacentral:SRP_RNA from 1 species
GCAAUGGCCCUGUGCAACGGCGCUGUGUGAACCCCGUCAGGCCCGGAAGGGAGCAGCGGUAAGCGCUUGCUACGUGUGCCACAGUAAGUCUUUGCCCG